UACGGAGGGUGCGAGCGUUGUUCGGAAUUACUGGGCGUAAAGCGUGCGUAGGUGGUUUGUUAAGUCUGUUGUGAAAGCCCCGGGCUCAACCUGGGAAUGGCAAUGGAUACUGGCAGGCUAGAGUGCGGUAGAGGGUAGUGGAAUUCCCGGUGUAGCGGUGAAAUGCGUAGAGAUCGGGAGGAACACCAGUGGCGAAGGCAGCCUCCUGGGCCAGCACUGACGCUCAUGCACGAAAGCGUGGGGAGCAAACAGG
rnacentral:rRNA from 1 species